rnacentral:tRNA from 1 species
GGGCCGCUAGCUCAGUUGGUAGAGCAGCUGACUCUUAAUCAGCGGGUCAAAGGUUCGAGCCCUUUGCGGCCCACCA